AAUUCAAACUCAGGCUAUGCUUGGCAGCCCAUUACCCAGGCUUAGCUUACCCUUGAACCUCCGUUGUUGGGAUCUUCACCUGUCGUUGCCUUCUUCAGCGGAAUCAGUUGUUUGUUCUUUCACAGUGAAAGUCUCACACAUUCCUACCCACCUACCUUCCCAGCUUGGCAGUUUCAGCUCAAUCUUUCAUCCUUGCGUUGCCUCCAAAGCGCCAAAAAGAUUUUAGAAUUCAUACUCCAAUGGCAGACAUGAACGAGGUCUUGGAGAGGCAAAUGCGAGAAUUUAGAGAAAGAAGGCGUAGACGAGCUGUAGGCAAAAGGGCGCAGGCAGAACUAGAUAUGCAAAUUGCCAUAGCAGUGGCUAUGCUUGAUGAAGAAAACCAGAGCCGCCGUGGUUCACGAGAAGGUCGUGGCCCGAAUGUGGACAGACAUAGACAUUCUCGGGGAAUCGUUUGUGGAGUGCCCUCCAAUGGAAGAUCAAGUCCAACAGAGAGAAAAAGAAAGAGUCCAGCAUCAAUGAAGGCUGUAGUGAUAACCACUCCAGGUGGACCAGAGGUCCUCCAACUACAAGAAGUUGAAGACCCAGAACUCAAAGACAAUGAGGUCCUAAUAAAAGUUGAGGCCACGGCUCUGAAUCGAGCCGAUAUUCUUCAAAGGAAGGGCAUGUACCAGCCACUCCCAGGUUCCAGCCCAUACCUGGGUCUCGAAUGUUCUGGAACCAUUGAGGCCGUUGGGAAGCAAGUCUCCCGCUGGCAAGUCGGUGACAAGGUGUGUGCUCUUCUUAGCGGAGGAGGGUAUGCUGAGAAGGUGGCUGUUCCAGCUGGACAAGUCCUUCUUGCUCCACCUGGUGUUUCUUUGCAGGAUGCUGCUAGUUUUCCUGAGGUUUCAUGCACUGUUUGGUCGACUGUGUUUAUGAUGAAUAGGCUAUCUGCUGGGGAAACAUUUUUGGUUCAUGGAGGCUCCAGUGGAAUUGGUACAUUUGCAAUUCAGAUAGCUAAAUACUUGGGAGCAAAGGUCUUUGUCACAGCAGGAAGUAAGGAAAAGUUAGCUUUUUGCAAGAAUCUUGGAGCUGAUGUAUGCAUCAAUUACAAGACGGAGGAUUUUGUUGCUCGGGUAAAGGAAGAAACGGGUGGCAAGGGUGUUGAUGUUAUCUUGGAUAUCAUAGGGGCAGAGUACGGAACCUGAACCUUGACAGCUUAAGUUUUGAUGGGAGGCUUUUUCUUAUUGGGGGGACGAUGGGUGGUGCUGUUACAGAAAUAGAUCGUGAUGUUGUGCUUUCGAAGCGCCUUACCAUCCAAGCUGCCGACUUGCGAUACAGAAGUCCAGAAAACAAAGCAGCGAUUGUUAGGGAGGUGGAAAACAAUGUGUGGCCUGCAAUUGUGGCUGGCAAGGUGAAACCUGUGGUCUACAAGUAUUUUCCAUUAUCUGAAGCAGCAGAGGCUCACCGGCUCAUGGAAAGUAGCAAGAACAUUGGAAAGAUUCUGCUUCUUCCCUGACGAUAUGAAUGUUAAGUAUUUUGAACUCAAAUAAACAACAUGGUUCAGAGUCUUCAGACAUUGUGAGCAGCUGGGGUCUAUCGUCUAGGAUAAUGUUUAAUUUGCAUAGCUUAAGUUGUUUAAUACUCUUGUAUUAUGAGAAUUAAAUCAAGGUUAACGGAUAAAUUUGUGAAUUCA